GAUGAACGCUGGCGGCGUGCCUAACACAUGCAAGUCGAACGGAGUUUAUGAAGUUUUCGGACGGAUUAAACUUAGUGGCGGACGGGUGAGUAACGCGUGGGUAACCUGCCUCAUACAGGGGGAUAACAGGUGGAAACGGCUGCUAAAACCGCAUAUGCAUACACUGCCGCAUGGUAGAGUGUGGAAAUAUUUAUAGGUAUGAGAUGGGCCCGCGUCUGAUUAGCUAGUUGGUGAGGUAAUGGCUCACCAAGGCGACGAUCAGUAGCCGGCUUGAGAGAGUGACCGGCCACAUUGGGACUGAGACACGGCCCAAACUCCUACGGGAGGCAGCAGUGGGGAAUAUUGCACAAUGGGCGAAAGCCUGAUGCAGCGACGCCGCGUGAGUGAAGAAGUAUUUCGGUAUGUAAAGCUCUAUCAGCAGGGAAGAUAAUGACGGUACCUGACUAAGAAGCCCCGGCUAACUACGUGCCAGCAGCCGCAGUAAAAC
rnacentral:rRNA from 1 species